AUUUCUCUAAACAGCAUUGGUUAGUUUCAUAUAUCAACAGAUCAGAGUGAAUAAUAGAGAGAAAAAUGGGAAGAAGAAGAGAAAUGGUAUUCAUUUUGAUUAUUCUUUAUUCAUAUAUGGUGGCUUCUUCCUUUGCUUUGAAACAACUCUUCACAAUAGAUUCUAAACAACAACUAAUUGGGAGAUCAAGCUACGACAAUAUAAGUAGUUUAUCGGUUGUUGAACAUCGAAGAGGAGGUAGGGGCGUCGUACCAAUGUAUGCAGCAGCUUCUUCACAUCGUCGUGGAAAACACCGCAACUGUGGAAACCGUCAUAAUAACUACGUCGAGUUUAUAGUCGUAAUUGAAGUUUUCGUCUCUAUUGCAAUUUUGUGUUCACUCAUCUAAUAUCGAUUACAUUCCAAUUCAUCAAUCAACAACAAUAAUGUAAGCAUUAAUUUUAUUUCCCUAGAAAAUUUAUAGUGUUGUUAUAUACAUACUAAUUCAUAAGGCUUCUAUUCUCUUCAUUGUUUAUGAAAAAAAUCAAAAUACAAUGUUUAAGAUUAAUGAACAAUAAUAAAUUAAUAUAUCAUUUGAUA